rnacentral:rRNA from 1 species
AAUAGCCUAACGGCUGAACCAGCAACUUGGGGGAAUGUAUAGCUUCGGCUAAUUAUACUUGGCUGUAUAAUCCAUUAUAAAUAAUUAAAGUUAUUUAUGAUAGAUUAUUCAAUUUAUCCUUAAUAGGUUUAUGCUACUAAAAAUAGUGUAGUAAAAUUAAUUUGCUACUUUUAUAUUAAGAGAAAUUAUUCUCGUAGACAGGUAUAAGAUCGAUUUUAUCGAGUAAAGUUCUAGAGAAGAAAAAAAUUGAUGAUGACUAACUUUUUUUCUAUAUGUCUUGACCAAAUUACGUGCCAGCAGUCGCGGUAAUACGUAAAAGACUAGUGUUAUUCAUCUUUAAUAGGUUUAAAGGGUACCUAGACGGUAUAAUUAGUCUUAAACAAGAAACGGUUAUGCUAGAGUUAUAUAUGAGAAGGGGAGUAUUUAUGGAGUAGAGUUGAAAUUCUUUGAUCCCAUGACGACUGGUAACGGCGAAAGCAACCUUUUAUCUAAUAACUGACGUUGAGGGACGAAGGCUCGGGUCACGACCAGGAUUAGAUACCCUAGUAGUCCAAGCAGAGAAUGAUGAAUGCCAUAGAUUAGAUGUUAAUUUAGUCUAUAAAUGAAAGUGUAAGCAUUUCACCUCAAGAGUAAUGUGGCAACGCAGGAACUGAAAUCAUUAGACCGUUUCUGAAACCAGUAGUGAAGUAUGUUAUUUAAUUCGUAAGUACGCGAAAAACCUUACCACAACUUGAAUAUUAUCUUUAAGAUAUUACAAGCGUUGCACGGCUGUCUUCAGUUAAUGUCGUGAGAUAUUGGUUAAUUCCAUUAAAUUAACGGAAACCCUUGCUUUAUUUGGGUAUAAAGCAGAACACCU